AGAAAAGGAAACUGAUGGACUCCAUUUUGGCAUCUGCUUCCAGAGAACCCAACUGCUGACAGAAAAUGCUGGAAACAAGUCUUUUGCAGAGUUAACUGAGAAGGGAAAAAGAAAAGAGCAAAAGCAAAAAUCUCCACUUGUUCCAGAAGGAUGUGAUUUCAGAUGUCAUGAAAUGCCCUAAUCAAAUACAGACCCUGGUCUAUUACACCUCCUUGUUCUAUCAGUCUAUAACCCUGAC